UGAACCAGAAUACGUAUCGCCGUUCCUAAUUACCUCACAUUAGGAAAACAUAUAUUGCUUAUCUUCAGUCUAGUCCGUCACUCUUGACUCUUGUUGGGCAGAUACAAGUGGUACAGAGGCAGGUGCAAGCCUGCGAUUACCCACUCGGAAUACGCUAUCUGUCUGGCGCUCUGUGGUUCUGUUCCUUCGCGAAUCAGUGAGCAGAGAUCACGAGGUAGAUAGGUGGGUUUAUGAGGUUAUCACGAAAGCUCCCGAGACCAGAGGAACGCUCGCAAGGUGAAAUGACACAAUAUAUCAUCUGCAUCCUGAGAGGAGGUCUGCGUUGCGUAAAAGAAGCGGAUGAUUGAGGAUAAACUGGGAGGUUUCCCGUGUCUCGGGGUGACUCCAGUGUCUCAGGAGUCGCGUCUGAGCGGUAAUAGACGAGAGAGACCUCGAGAGAAUAGGUUGUUUGCGCUCCCGGGAGGUCCCGCUCUGCAUGAAAAGGAGAGAUGCAAAAGAGAUUCCCAAGAAGGAUUCCCGAUCUGCGGCCCAUUUUCCUGCGUCUUUUCUUCACGCAAAAGGUGUGGAUCUGGGCCUGUUCCAGUGAAAGCAGGAUGUCCGACUCGUGAAAGGAAAAAGUUUCUUCUUGUCCACGAUAAGAAGCAAGGCGGCUCCACGGCACCACAGAUUCACUCCAGUGAUCAGAGAGAGAGAGAGAGAG